GUGAAAGCCCUGGGCUUAACCCAGGAAGUGCAUUUGAAACUGCUUUACUUGAGUAUGGGAGAGGAGAGUGGAAUUCCUGGUGUAGAGGUGAAAUUCGUAGAUAUCAGGAGGAACAUCUGUGGCGAAGGCGACUCUCUGGACCAAUACUGACGCUGAGACGCGAAAGCGUGGGUAGCAAACAGGAUUAGAUACCCUGGUAGUCCACGCUGUAAACGAUGAGAACUAGGUGUAGCGGGUAUUGACCCCUGCUGUGCCGAAGUUAACGCAUUAAGUUCUCCGCCUGGGGAGUACGGCCGCAAGGCUAAAACUCAAAGGAAUUGACGGGGGCCCGCACAAGCGGUGGAGCAUGUGGUUUAAUUCGACGCAACGCGAAGAACCUUACCUGGGUUUGACAUCCUUUGACCGCCAUGGAAACAUGGUUUUCCUGAUUUAUCAGGACAGAGUGACAGGUGCUGCAUGGCUGUCGUCAGCUCGUGUCGUGA
rnacentral:rRNA from 1 species